UCAAUUGAGAAAGACGUCAUCCAGCCUAGAAAGUAAGGACUCCACAAAACACUGGUAUCCACCUCCUGCACUCAAACCAUGAGAUAAACUCUUAUCUCACCUCCCAACUUGCACCACCCUUGAAGAGCACAUCCAGAGGACUUUCGCUAGGUGACACCCAUCUUCCGCUACAUUGACAACUGUCUUCCUCAAGCAACUGACUCAAAACCCAGGUUUCCUCUCCCAGGUUCCUUUUCUGCAAGGCUCAAUGGCAAUUUCCAACCUUUAAACCCUCGCCUUGCGAAGGCACAGAUCCUGAGACAAGGAGGGGCACAAAUGCAGCAAACAGCAACCGUCUUCCUACAAAUAACAUCGACACCACCUGCCACCAACCCGGAACGAGUUCAUGACCGACUGUGCUUCUGGUUAGUUCUGUUGUGGCCCACCCAUAAGGACAUCCGUGAGCCGGGAAGAGGCACAGAGGAGGGGACACAUGCACAUGCACUUCCAGUCUGCCGGUACCCGAGGGGCCUUGUACUACCUUCUGUGAGUGGGGGUGACGGCAGAUGUGGAGCCACAUGCCUGCCUGCUAAAGGAUGAACUACCCAGGAGCUCCAACUAUAUUUAAAAAUUUUCAACAGAAACAUUCUAAGUUUCCUUAAGAUUCUGAAAUUCUAGAGGUUUUCACUUUGUCUAAAGAGUGUCAGGAAUA